rnacentral:lncRNA from 10 species
GGAGGAAAGGUUAGCUAGAUGGGCUGCGCAUCGGUCCUGUGGAACACUGCACAGAGAUGAGGAAAUCAAGGCGGAGAAAAGUUGGAGAAUGUGUCCAAAGUCACACCGCCGGCAGCCAAAAGAGCCCGGGGGCUCACUCACAGAAGACACAGCCAACAGCGAUUGCUCUGGGAGAGAGGACCGGGGAAAAGUUAGUGCUGUUCACCGUACACGUUGCGCGCUAGUUGGAAUGGCUUUCACCACGUGCAAGCACUGCUUUUGCAAAUGCAUGAUUCUAAACAAUGCUCACCAACCCAGCCUUCAGUACAGUCCUAAAGUAACAGCCCAGAAACACACACUUCAGCCAGGACCCUCCAUGCUGCCUCCCAGAGCAGCCCAGCAGCUGGACAGCCUGAUGCCCUGGGCUGGAUCAGCAAGUCCUGGAUGCCUUUUACCUGCACCCAGCUCAUCCUCCAGGCCGCAGGACACACAGACUCCCGACCCUGGACUGGGGGCCAGAAGCCACCGAGCUGGAAGGGACAAG